AAAAUGGGAAGACAUUGAUGGUUUUUCAGCAAGAAAGUGCUGAUAAAAGAUCUGUUUAUUGAAGACUUCUCUUGGCAUCCCAAAGGAAGGUGUUAGAAGGAAUUCAAGGCCAUGUUACUUCACCUCACCUUAACAGAGAUGCUUCGUGGCUAUUACAAACUCCUCUGCUACAUCUCAGUCUUUGGAACUAAUGAUAGAGUGAGAGUGAAAGAGAAAGGUGUGGGAGAUACACUUGCAAGCCAUCCAGAGGAGAAGCUUCACUGCAGCUUCUGAGAAGAUGCCUUACUGAAUCUCCAUUUGACCCUCUUAUUUGGAGUAAUUGAAAGGUUAAAAAGUACACUUUCUGGACUCCUUUGCAGCUAAGUGCAUCACUUAGAUGCACUUGAAUGAGAUUCAGAAGCCAGAAGUUUGGCAUGGGCCAUUUUCUUGCAGAUGUAGUAGCUGACAGGUAAAUUCUGACAGUUGUAAGGGAUCAACAUGACAGUCAUGUAAUAGUCAUCAGUGACAUUGGUGUGAGGAGGCUGUGAUGGCCACAGUUACAAGACUGGCAGUAGCGGUUGUGUGUCAUUUGGGUUUCAUGUGUAGUGGUAUGACCUUAAAACUGAAAGUGCAAGAGCAGAUCACUGACAUCGAUUCCUCCAGCCUUUUGUAAGCAUGUACUUCCCUGAAUAAAAUCACUCUCUGCUU